GAUAUUUUGAAGUUAUAGAAUGAGUGGAUAGUCUUGAUCUUACUGAUAUAGAGUAACUUGUGUGUGUUUAAAUUUAUACUAAUAUUUUUCACAGGUGAAAAAAUGAAAAUCUGAUCUUUUGUAAUAUAUGUGGACUUUCCAAGACUUCUAAGAUCACAAAUGAAUUUAUUUGAUCAGAAUUUAGAGAAAGAAUAUGAUAUGUCUGCCAUUCAGUGUUCAUUAUGCUCAGGUAUAAUACAUCAAAUCUUCAGCACUAAAAUAGAGUGGGAAGUCAUCAGUAAAACCUGAGUCAGUGUCCAUCACCUGUACAACUUGCUAUGGAAGAAGCUUGAGCCACUCACUGCUCCAUUGCUAUCCAUUGGCAUGCUAAAUCAAAUGUUUGCCUGGAAACAUUCAUCAAAGCUGCUGCAAUGCAAUCGUCUAUAUAAACAGUUUAUUUCACUGGCAAGAAGAUAGCUAACAUUCGUUUUCUCCAGAUGCUUCAGAGUUUCCUGUGACUUCAAACUGUUUCUUGCUACCCAUUUGCUUCAGUUGUCUUCAUAGAACACUGGACUUAAAGGAAGGGAAUGUGUAUCACACGUAACCAUAAGGAAGAAGGGUCAUGAUUAAACCUGUUUCUGAUCUGCUACAAGUAUGAAGUUGUGAAAGUAAAUGUCAUUAACCUAGUUCAUGAGAUCUGCCUUUAAUCACAUAUAGCAAAUGAACAAAAGAUUUCCAUCCAGUCCCCAUACCUUCUUGUAUCUUAGCUCUCCUUUCUUCUGCUUUCUUUUUCUUAUUAUGUUUGUGUUUCUUACUUACAUUUCAUGCAUCAUAAACU